rnacentral:rRNA from 1 species
UACGUAGGCAGCGAGCGUUGUUCGGAGUUACUGGGCGUAAAGCGCGCGUAGGCGGCUUUGCAAGUCGGGUGUGAAAUCCCCAGGCUUAACCUGGGAACUGCAUUCGAGACUGCAUUGCUAGAGUAUGGGAGAGGGAAGUGGAAUUUCCGGUGUAGCGGUGAAAUGCGUAGAUAUCGGAAGGAACAUCAGUGGCGAAAGCGACUUCCUGGACCAAUACUGACGCUCAUGUGCGAAAGCGUGGGGAGCAAACAGG